CGGGUGAGUAAUGUAUGGGGAUCUGCCUGAUGGAGGGGGGUAACUACUGGAAACGGUAGCUAAUACCGCAUAACGUCGCAAGACCAAAGAGGGGGACCUUCGGGCCUCUUGCCAUCGGAUGUGCCCAGAUGGGAUUAGCUAGUAGGUGGGGUAACGGCUCACCUAGGCGACGAUCCCUAGCUGGUCUGAGAGGAUGACCAGCCACACUGGAACUGAGACACGGUCCAG
rnacentral:rRNA from 1 species